CGGCAAAACAGAACAGAAAGGCGGAGAUAAAAAGAGAGGUGUUAAAAGACCUCGAGAAGAUCAUGGCCGUGGCUAUUUUGAGUACAUUGAAGAGAACAAGUAUAGCAGAGCCAAAUCUCCUCAGCCACCUGUUGAAGAAGAAGAUGAACACUUCGACGACACAGUGGUUUGUCUUGAUACUUAUAAUUGUGAUCUACAUUUU